rnacentral:ncRNA from 2 species
CUAGGGUCAGCUGGCCUUGGUGUUCGGGAAAUCGGUGCGAAACCGGUGCGGCCCUCGCCACUGUGAUCGGGAAGUCCGGCUCCACUCCGUAAGGAAGCCACUGGGCUCGCGCGGGAGACCGUACGACCCCGGGAAGGCGGAGCCAGGACAACAGCACCCGUGAGCCAGGAGACCGGCCGGGGCGCGUUGUCCAUC